AGGCAACAGCUGUUGUAAAUGAAUAAUCAGAUUGCCCAGUUAAUUAAUGGUUUUAAAUGGACUUGGGUGGGUUUUUUUUUUCCUUUCCUUCUUGUGAUUUCAUCCAUGCUGGUGAAAUGGUUAAUAAAUUCUUAAUGAGGAAGAAUGUUACACAAAUGUCGGGUAAACCAGGUCUUCUUUUACAUUCGAAGCAUAACAUGUAAUUAAAAUGCACCAUGUAUAGAACCAGAGCUUCAUUUAACUGAUCUCAACCUAACCCCUCUGUGCUGAGAUGAAUAUUGCUUUUCCUUUGAUGUAUCCUGUUGUGUUAAAUGCACCACACUGAUCUAAAAAUGGCAAAUUCUGUGGGUGCCCAGGGUUGUUAUCAGAGCCAGACGCUGCACGCUUGCAAUACAUGCCUCCAYACAGCACUUCUACUUAGAAGAAAAAGAAAUGUGUAAAAUGAUCUCACUUGUCCUUUCAAAACWGAUUUCUAAUCCAUUUAAUCUAUUCCUUGCAAAUCAACCACUGAAAAUGCAAUUUCCCUACUAAAAUUGACAAUGUAUUACUCUUUUUUUUUCUGUAGCAUUUCCUGUUUCAUCCAUAUUAUGAUCAUAACCAGGAAAUAACAGUACAAUAUGUAAGGAAUUUUUWAAAUUAGUUGGAAAUAAUUACUUUUAAUAACUUUAAUUCAGGAUGCCUUCUUAACAUUAAAUUUUGAAGCAUAUAGUUUUUUUUCAAGAGCUUUCCCAAAACUGCAUUUCCUUUUAAGAGUGUGAUUUUUAAAGAUAGAGUGUCAUAUUUUAUAAUUACUAACCAAAGGUUAAAAUCACGUGAAAACCUUCCUCUGAUAACCUCUGCCAAGCAGAACUUUCAAGUAGGGGGGAAAAAAAAUCUAAACCAACAAUGGAGACCCUGCAGAUUUUUAAAACACAACUAAAUGUUUACCAGUUUGAAGUGUACAUGAACCAAAUUUCUUCAAUGUGGAAUUUUUAAGGAAUCAUAUAUUUAUGGUAAACUCUCUUUUUUUUAAUAAAAUAGAUGUGUCAUCAGCUAUCUUUCUGGUGUAAAAUUCUGCUGUACUGUGUGUGAUGUUACCCACCCUCAGCAUACUAAGAAUUAUUUAGAUUCUGUUCACUGUCAUAGGAAGAAGGCUAUGUAAACUUAGACUUAUCAUACCAGAGACUCAAAAGCCAUGAAUGAGUCUUCCUAUAAAAAAUAAUAUUUGCUUUAAAAUUCAUAAUGUUUCUGAAAAUACUGAAUAUUAAUWUAUUUUUAGCCUUCUGUUUCCUGARACUGUAGMACUUUCAUUUUCUGUGUUUCAAUCUGCAACUCCAAGGAGAUGAGUAACUUUUAAAGGGGAAGUGGAGCUUCUUCAUUGACCACAUAAAUGCAAGAGCUGGGCUUUUAUGAAAGUUAAUUAAAUAUUAUGAAACUCAGGAUGAGCCAAUCYGAAAUGACAUGGCUGAGACAGCAGCCCCAGAGCAUGAAAAGUACCAGAUGCUAACGAGGAGAGUGAAGGGAAGAUAAAUAUUUUGAGCCUUGUCACUGUGUCCCAACAGCCAAGUACCUGCACCCAGAGUUCAGCUUAAUUGUUCCAAUUUUCCUUGCAGGCACCAGAAGAGGUUUUCUUAUAUGCACUUGUCUGUGGUGCUGGGCAGAGAUUUAGCUUAUUUACUGAGGGGAAUCUAUUUGAUGAUUUCUACCCACUUACCAUGUGUGCUCUCCUCAAAACUUUACUUUUUAUUGGGGUUUUUAGAUAAAGAUUUGGUUUUCAUGUGUCUCUGACUCUGAGGUUACGUUUUCUUUAAAUAUGCUCUUGGCCUGACAAUGUGCUCAGCGUAUGCAGUAAUAAAGGUACAUGAGCUUCUGACCUAUAUUCAGGGGCCAGAGAUGUGGAUCAAAAAGGGAAUGAGCUUUUCCUCUCUUUUGGCAGUGAUAUCCCAGCUUUGUCAUUGCAAAUGUUGGAGYAGUGCCUCUGUGACUCAGUAGGAACACAUACUGUAUGAAAAAGGCACCUGUUUUCCCCCUGRGAGAGACAGAGGGCCUGGAAGCACAUAUGUUACAGAACAUCCUCCUCUCUUGAAGGCAAAUUGCUCCCUGGAUGACUCCAGCAUUCAGGURUGGUGAUGACACCUCAGUCUGUGUGAAGGUGCACCUGUGUGGUGGAACAUUAUGCUGGAGCUGAAGAAGCAGAACCCCCCGGGAUGAGUCAUUUGUAUAUCCUGUGAUUGUGGUUUUGUUUACCAUCCUGCCAAGAAAGAGUCCUUUGAAGKAUGACUAAAAAUUGUUGUAUGUUGCUGCUAAAAGAACAUCAGCUGUCUAGAUUAGUGUUAUCUCCUAAUUUUUGUAAUCAUUCUCAUUCAUCUCUUAGAGAUUUUGUGUUAACAGGAACAGGCAUCUGGCUUUUUUAAAGGGCCUAGCAUUGCUCAGUGGGUGGGACAGCAACAGUGCUACUGAGGUGAUGCUUCUGGUGACAUCCAAAGUACUWGAGCAGGAUGUCCUGAGCAUGUUCAGAACAAUUAGAAUGUGUUAAAGCAGCUGGUAUGUGGAGUGCCCACCACAGGAGAGAGCCUCUGGUCUCCAGCAUCACUUUGUGAAAAAUAUUCGAGAACUGACCCAGUAAGUCAUCAUUGGUGUAAACAAAACUGAUCUCCUUGCACACUGCAGAGACAUUAUACCAGAUGCAAGGGUCUUUCUUCUGUCUCCAUGGUGUCCAUACCAGUUCUGUCCAUAGUCAUGGUCACUUGGACACCAGCCCCAGACACCUGAAGCAGUAGCUUUUCCUAAGUUUUCCAAGAGAGGCCCUAUUGUACAGUGGCAGAGGAUGGGGUACAUAAACUGCUGGGCUGCUCCACUCAGUCCCCCAGUGCCAACACCAGUUUAAAGUUCUUUUCUUAGAAGACAAAUGAAGAUGAUGAUCAGUUUUCAUUUCAUACUGAUAAUGAAUAGCUGAGAGAUGUCUAAGUUCAUUUCAGGACAUGACAGAACUGUGUAUGCAGAGACAAACUCUCAAAGUCAGUUCCAAAAAUUCACAAUGUUGUCAUCAGAAACCUUCUAGCAACAGCCUGCCAGGAUACCUCCAUGCUGCACCUGAAACAAUUCCUUUGACCUCCUUUAGAUCCAGACUCUGACCAAAAACUGAUGUUCUUGGGUCUCAAAAUGAAUAAUAGCAACUGCAGAACUGCUGGGUGGAGAAAUGAGUGUAUCUGUGUCUUCAUCAAGGGUUUGGCCCCACUGCACCACAGCUCUGCCAGUUUCAAAAGGAUCACAGUGGUGGCCAUCUGGAAAUUUCUAUUUUAUCUUAGGCAGUAUCGCCCAGACAGUGGCUUGUGGCUGAGAGAUCUGCAGUGGGCAUUGCUGCAGGGUUUGGAUSCAGAGGUGAAUGGUACAGCAGCACUCCUGGAAAUGCUGAUAGAUGAGCUCYCCAAGAAACCUCAACAGGAACUUAGUCUGAUCCUCUUCCCCAGCRAGUCCUGAGGAACCAYAACUUCACCCAAUCUGUGGUGAAGMAGAUGUGAGAGAGCCAUUGUGCAUAGGGUUGGGGCAUGAAUAUCACAUGAGGGGAUGCACUGCAUGCAAUAAUGGUCCAUGUAAUCUCUUUCCAUGGAACUACACUGGAGCUAUUGUUGCCAUCUUGCUGAGCAUCUGACUGAACAUCUACAGCAAACACUGGUGAGAAUUGUUUUUGACCACUUCUGUAACCACAGUAAUUUUACUUGUGCUUUCAAUUAACUCUCUAAUCAGGAUGAAAGUUAGUAGAAAUUGCCAUAUUUUGUAACCAAUAAUUGACACCAUGUUUUCCUCAGGAAAUGAGCUGGAAAUCAUGAGCUAAGUAAAAGUUGUUUAGAGAURCAAUCACAAAGGGUGUAAUGUCCCAGUCAGGAAAUGAAGAGAGUCUAGUAGCUGGUCAGGUAACAAUAAUUUUAUAAUGUGAURUUUGCAAUGGGUACUUUUUAAAGACAAAUCUGUAAUAGACAGAGCUAGCCAAAUACCUAGUGCAAUAAAGACUGAUGAGCUAUGUGAUAUUUUGCACUUUAAUAAUGUUUUGKUAUAUAGUCACAACUUCAUU